UACAGAGGGGGCAAGCGUUAUUCGGAAUUACUGGGCGUAAAGGGCGCGUAGGCGGCACUGUUAGUCAGGCGUGAAAGUCCUGGGCUCAACCUGGGAACUGCGCUUGAUACGGCAGAGCUAGAGGAUGGAAGAGGGUCGCGGAAUUCCCAGUGUAGAGGUGAAAUUCGUAGAUAUUGGGAAGAACACCGGUGGCGAAGGCGGCGACCUGGUCCAUUACUGACGCUGAGGCGCGACAGCGUGGGGGAGC
rnacentral:rRNA from 1 species